GGCCAGUGUGGUGUAAUGGUUUGCAUGUUAGACUCGCACACUAGGAGACAAGGGUUUGAAUCCCUGCUUGGCCA